AGUCGAGCGGCAGCGGGAAAGUAGCUUGCUACUUUUGCCGGCGAGCGGCGGACGGGUGAGUAAUGCCUGGGGAUCUGCCCAGUCGAGGGGGAUAACUACUGGAAACGGUAGCUAAUACCGCAUACGCCCUACGGGGGAAAGCAGGGGACCUUCGGGCCUUGCGCGAUUGGAUGAACCCAGGUGGGAUUAGCUAGUUGGUGAGGUAAUGGCUCACCAAGGCGACGAUCCCUAGCUGGUCUGAGAGGAUGAUCAGCCACACUGGAACUGAGACACGGUCCAGACUCCUACGGGAGGCAGCAGUGGGGUAUAUUGCACAAUGGGGGAUACCCUGAUGCAGCCAUGCCGCGUGUGUGAAGAACGCCUUCGGGUUGUAAAGCACUUUCAGCGAGGAGGAGAGGUUGGUAGCUAAUAACUGCCAGCUGUGACGUUACUCGCAGAAGACGCACCGGCUAACUCCGUGCCAGC
rnacentral:rRNA from 1 species